rnacentral:rRNA from 1 species
GACGAACGCUGGCGGCGUGCUUAACACAUGCAAGUCGAACGGGAAGGCCCUGCUUUUGUGGGGUGCUCGAGUGGCGAACGGGUGAGUAACACGUGAGUAACCUGCCCUUGACUUUGGGAUAACUUCAGGAAACUGGGGCUAAUACCGGAUAGGAGCUCCUGCUGCAUGGUGGGGGUUGGAAAGUUUCGGCGGUCGGGGAUGGACUCGCGGCUUAUCAGCUUGUUGGUGGGGUAGUGGCUUACCAAGGCUUUGACGGGUAGCCGGCCUGAGAGGGUGACCGGCCACAUUGGGACUGAGAUACGGCCCAGACUCCUACGGGAGGCAGCAGUGGGGAAUAUUGCACAAUGGGCGGAAGCCUGAUGCAGCAACGCCGCGUGCGGGAUGACGGCCUUCGGGUUGUAAACCGCUUUCGCCUGUGACGAAGCGUGAGUGACGGUAAUGGGUAAAGAAGCACCGGCUAACUACGUG